GAGUAACGCGUGAGUAACCUGCCCUGGAGUGGGGGACAACGGUUGGAAACGACUGCUAAUACCGCAUAAGCCCACGAUCCGGCAUCGGAUUGAGGGAAAAGGAUUUAUUCGCUUCAGGAUGGACUCGCGUCCAAUUAGCUAGUUGGUGAGGUAACGGCCCACCAAGGCGACGAUUGGUAGCCGGACUGAGAGGUUGAACGGCCACAUUGGGACUGAGACACGGCCCAGACUCCUACGGGAGGCAGCAGUGGGGGAUAUUGCACAAUGGGGGAAACCCUGAUGCAGCGACGCCGCGUGGAGGAAGAAGGUUUUCGGAUUGUAAACUCCUGUCGUUAGGGACGAUAAUGACGGUACCUAACAAGAAAGCACCGGCUAACUACGUGCCAGCAGCCGCGGUAAAACGUAGGGUGCAAGCGUUGUCCGGAAUUACUGGGUGUAAAGGGAGCGCAGGCGGACCGGCAAGUUGGAAGUGAAAACUAUGGGCUCAACCCAUAAAUUGCUUUCAAAACUGCUGGCCUUGA
rnacentral:rRNA from 1 species